AGCUUUGCGCAGUGGCAGUAUUGUAGCCAAUGAGGUUUAUCCGAGGCGCGAUUAUUGCUAAUUGAUUUCCAUUUGCAUGGAAUAUCUUUUUCCAUCCCCUCACUUUCAGUCUGUAUGUGUCCCUAGGUCUGAAGUGGGUCUCUUGUAGACAGCAUAUAUAUGG
rnacentral:snRNA from 1 species